CGAAAAUUUCACGUCCAAACCUGCCUCACAAUUUAGUAAUCGGAUUGUAAGGCAACUGAAGUGAAGGCAAGUGAAGCAUACUCAAUGGCGUAUUAUUGACCUGUAAGAAGUAUUAUACGUUUCAUCUGGGCUUUUGUUAAUGCUUUUGUCUUUGGUGGUUUCACAGGCGAUCUUUAUUUAGACGUUCCAGCAUUUUGGAUCAUAGUGAAGGAAGUGGGCCAGUAGCCUUUGCUCACAAGAGAACAGGACUGUCUUCCGUACUUACCACAGGGAAUCAGGCUCAGUGUACAUCUUACUUCAUCGAACCUGUGCAGUGGAUGGAGUCUGCUUUGUUGGGGGUUAUGGAUGGACAGCUUCUUUGCCCAAAAUGCAGUGCCAAGUUGGGUU
rnacentral:lncRNA from 1 species